CACGCUGAAACAACAAAUCCCGUACGAUCACCGAAGUUAAGCAACGUCGAACCUGACCAAUAGCUCGAUGGGUAACCGCUUGGUAAUACCAGGUGCUGUAAG